ACAUGCAAGUCGGACGGCAGCGCAGGAGAAGGCUUGCUACCUAUGUGGUGGCGAGUGGCGAACGGGUGAGUAACAUAUCGGAACGUACCGAGUAGUGGGGGAUAACUGAUCGAAAGAUUAGCUAAUACCGCAUAUUUCUUGAGAGGGAAAGCAGGGGACCUUCGGGCCUUGCGCUAUUCGAGCGGCCGAUAUCUGAUUAGCUGGUUGGUGGGGUAAAGGCCUACCAAGGCGACGAUCAGUAGCGGGUCUGAGAGGAUGAUCCGCCACACUGGGACUGAGACACGGCCCAGACUCCUACGGGAGGCAGCAGUGGGGAAUUUUGGACAAUGGGCGCAAGCCUGAUCCAGCCAUGCCGCGUGUCUGAAGAAGGCCUUCGGGUUGUAAAGGACUUUUGUCGGGGAAGAGAAGGUUGGUGCUAAUACCCCCGGCUGAUGACGGUACCCGAAGAAUAAGCACCGGCUAACUACGUGCCAGCAGCCGCGGUAAUACGUAGGGUGCGAGCGUUAAUCGGAAUUACUGGGCGUAAAGCGGGCGCAGACGGUUACUUAAGCAGGAUGUGAAAUCCCCGGGCUCAACCCGGGAAUUGCGUUCUGAACUGGGUGGCUAGAGUGUGUCAGAGGGAGGUAGAAUUCCACGUGUAGCAGUGAAAUGCGUAGAGAUGUGGAGGAAUACCGAUGGCGAAGGCAGCCUCCUGGGAUAACACUGACGUUCAUGCCCGAAAGCGUGGGUAGCAAACAGGAUUAGAUACCCUGGUAGUCCACGCCCUAAACGAUGUCGAUUAGCUGUUGGGCAGCCUGACUGCUUGGUAGCGAAGCUAACGCGUGAAAUCG
rnacentral:rRNA from 1 species